rnacentral:lncRNA from 1 species
GGAGGAGGAGGUUUCCGAGUUGCAAAAUUCUGCAAAAACUCUCAAGAUGUAAACUUACUGCAAGAUUAUAUAAAACCAUCAUUCCAAAUCUUGUUUGGUCUCAUUGAUUCUGUGAACAACUUACUUCAUUACAAACUAGUUUAUGUUUAAUUUUGAUCAGAGACAAACGUACAAUGAAAACCAUCAUUCCAAAUCUUUAUAAGCAAGUUAAAGAAAGGCGAUGAGAGACCAAGAUCGCAGGUUUACUUGCACUGGUUGUUGGUUAAAGCUUUGGUUACACAAUGCGAAACGAUUCCAACCGGGCAGAAGAGAAGGCAAAGCGAAACAGAAUGCCUUGUUUCGAUCUGGUUCAGUAAACCAUCAUUAUAAACUUGCCUACAAGAGAAAACCCAAAACACGCGUUAUUAAGAAACAUGUUCGGAUAAAUUCAGAACCCGGUGAGAAGAAGAAGAAGCCCGGAUAUAUAUACCUGGCAGCGAAAAGAUCGACAACAAGAAGAUGAAUCCACGCAGAAGCAAGAGUCAUUUCACUUGAGAACAUUUUCGCUAUCCCCGACAACUGCAGAUGAAAUUAAACUUUAGAGAUUGCAAUGAUACAUUAUCAUAGACAUUCUUGUUUUUCACAAAUUUCAGGAAAGCGGAUAAACCUCUGGCAACAUGUAUUUACUAGAAAACAUGUAUUUGAGCGUCUCGGGUGUCCAAGAAAGGUAUAACAAAUACGCGUAUAACACGCCUAAGACGAUAUACGGUAAGCUACUCUCCAUACACUUCUUGGUCUGCACAAAGAAACUCAAUUUAGAUCCAAAUUCCUUUGAGUCUGCACAAGAAAUUGCAAAACUUGCAACAAAAAACAUAAUCUUACAAUCUCAGCUUUUGGAGCUACAACCAUAAGAGUGUAAAAGGGAAGAACUGCGGUAGUUCCAACUGCAAACACACUGCUUGCAAUCUGAGAUGUAGCCAACACUGCAACAUAAACAUAUCAGAGAUCAAAACCACAAAAAUGAGUGACAAAGUUUCAAGCUUUAAGUUCAAUGAAAGUGCAGAGAGAGACACAUUACAUGAAGCUUGUACGCCAGAGACUUUCUUGUAAACUACAGAGCAAGAAUUCGAUGAAACAUUGGGGUGAAGCGAGAUUCUUGAUCCUCCAACGAAGCUCCAAGGAUUAUCUAAUCUAAUUCUUGAAGAAUCAAGAAAAAGUUCCGAUCUUUUAACAGUAAAGUUGCGUUUCAUCAUCUGAAAUCAACCAAAAAAGAACGAACUUUUUUUACUUCAUCUCUUAAAAAUUCAGAAACUUUCAUAUAGAAACAGAGGCUCUCUAAAACAGGUGACCCACGGAGAAGUCAAUUCAAUGAUAUAUAAAAAAAACAUUCUGGGUCAAUUCAAAACCCAUUAAAUUCUCCAAAUUGAGUCAAAAGGUAAAGACUUUAAGGUUAUCUAUAACUAUAGUAAGAACCUCAACACAGAAUCUAAACCGACAAAAGAUUCACAAACACAGUAUAAGUGAAAUCUGGAGAUAAAAGAAGAGUACCGAGAGAGAUGAAGAAGAGAAAGGCUGAGAAAUGAGAGAAGUAAAAACCAUCUUUGAUUCAAAACUUCAAUACCCUUUGCCAAAAACUGAUCCUUCAUUACCUAACUUAACCAAACUCUCUCCAUAUAUAGAUGGAACACUGAGUAAUGAUGGUUUGAGAGGUGUUGUUUCCACUGAAUACGGAAGUGGAAGGGUGAAAGAAAAAAGUUGUCUUUCACUCUUUCUUCCUCAGUGUGUCCACAAUUAUAUGCAACACGUUUUUUUUUUGCUCAUACAGUCCUCCUCUUUAAAAAGUUUUCAUCUUUUACGAUAACUUUUCCUUUUUAAUAUAAUUUAGACAUUUUUUUUGACAUCGUAUAAUUUACACUUAUUUUUUUAGUAUAAAAGUUAAUAAUUCCUUUCGAUUUCAUCUUAAAGUUUUAAACUACAUUUUUUUAAAAAAAAAUAUUGGUUUACUUCAAUGAAAGAUAUCAUUUAGUACUUUAGUAUAUAAGUAUAUUAACGUAUAAUAUGUUUUAGUGAAUCAUCGUUAUAUAUAUAGAAUUCAACAUGUUGAUCGACAUUUAUUUAUAUGUAUUGGCUUUGAUUGGUAACACAAUUAAAAGUGGUUGGAGAUUCAAUCAUUCCUUAACUUAGUUACUAAUUAGAUGAACCAUCGAAAUAAACGUAUGAAACGAAUAGUAGAAGGUAUGGUUAAAAAGAUGGUAAAAACUUAAAUGAGGCGGUUGCCAACUGCUCAAAUGAGGCGGUUGCCAACCGCGUCGUUUAUAUGAUGUUGCCAAUAUGAGCCAUUAUGUGAAAGGGAGAUGGAAGUGAAAGUGAAUUUAGGUGGACAAGAGACAAGUCUAGUUUCAGAAAAAGACAAAGGUUGGUGUUGCUCCCAUUAAUUUUGUAAAACAAGAAAAAGAUAGAGAUAUAGUUAAUGGCUAAUAAUCUAAAUAUAUAACUCACUGCUUGAGAAAGUGGAUGAAGUAAGAUAACUUGGGUGGGCUAUUUGGUAUAUAACUUAAAAUUUAAUUAAUGGGCCUUUUGAUCCACCCAUUUUGUUUUUCUUUUGUAACUCCCACUUACACUGUUCAGUCAACAAAUAAAAACAAAUUUGUGGUAUCUUUCAAUCUUGUUGUGGGAUUUUCGCAUUUCGAUGUAUUCGAUGGUGGCCAAAACUAAGAUUAAAUGGUAAAAAGAUUUUUUCCUUAAUUUUUAAAAAGAUUUGAUUAUAUUUUCUGAUUUGAAAACUUUUACUAUAUCUAUAACUUCAAAAAACCGCAAAUUCUUACAAGCCUCAUAUAUCUUAUCCUAUUCCGACAAGUACCUAAACAACAUUACUACAAAUUAUACAUUUCACACUAUAGAGUUCAAAUAUGUGAACUUGGGCCAAGUCAUUUGAUUGAGGAAAUAUAUAAUAUGAUCCACAAGAUCCUUGAAUAUACUCUUGAGUAAAAAAACAAAAGAAUAUUCGAGACCUCUUAUCAAGAAUCCUAUCCUAAAGAAAGCACAUCCACUUAUGUUUCCAUCACUAGAUUUCAAGUGGGUCAUCAUCAUCUUUUACUUCAAGAUAUUGUUUAGUCUAAACCUCUCAAACCUCCUUAAUCGUGUGAUCUAAUCUAUCUUAUGUGUUUCUUCAACUUGUAAAUUUUCAUAUUUGUUGAGUCACAUUGUCCUAUUUUCUUUAAUGUUCAUAUGCAAUUCAAAUUUCAAGAGAUAUUAUAGAACAUUACAUAUUUAUUUCAUCAGAUAGUUGAGAAUCCGAUAGAAAAUGUCUCGCAAACCGGAAAACAAACGUUAAAUCCGGAAAUUAAAACUUUAGAUAAAAAUUAAAAAGAAAAAAGGAAAAAGCAGAAAUUGAUAUAAAAUCAAAGGUGGAGGAGGGGAUGAGAUAAAGUUUUUGAUAUGUUUUACAAGAAACAAAGCAAAGCAAAGAGAGAGAUUAAGCAUCGGUGAAGCGAGGGGGCUUGUAGGCAAUGAAACUGAUGCACUGCACUUGACGGGUGUUGUCGAAUCCGAUGAUCCUGAUGAAGGCUUCAGGGUACUCCUUCUUGCACUCGUUAACUUCCUUCAACACUUGUGCUGAGUCAGUGCAUCCGAACAAGGGUAGCUUCCACAUUGUCCAGUACCUUCCAUCGUAGUAUCCGGGGGUGUUACCGUGCUCACGGUGCACAAACCCGUUCUAUAAUAUAAAAAAAAACCAAACCACACAUGUUACGACCACAACAACAACAACAACAACAAAAGUCCAAGAUCUAAGCUAGUUUAUGUUUUUUUCUUACCUCCAACUCGAAUUCAACACAGGGAAUCCACUUGUUGCGGAGGAGGUAGUCAACUUCCUUUCCCAACUCGACCUCGGAAAGGUCAGGAAGGUAAGAGAGAGUCUCGAACUUCUUCUUUCCGAUCGGAGGCCACACCUUUGAGAUUCAGACAAAACAACAUAUGAGUUCAUGUAAUUCGAACGAAAAAAGAAGAAGAAGAAAAAAGAUGUAUGACCUUCAUGCAGCUAACUCUUCCGCCGUUGCUUGUGAUGGAAGUAAUGUCGUUGUUGGCCUUGCGGGUGGAAGGGAAAGCAGCGGAGGACUUAAGUCCGGUGAAAGGAGCGACCAUAGUGGCCUGAGCCGGGGAGGCAACCAUUGUAGCGGAAGAGAGCAUAGAGGAAGCCAUUGUGUUCUUUCUCUUUUACUCUUUUGUGUGACUGAGGUUCUGUCUAGUGCUUUGGUCAUCUAUAUAUAAUGAUAAUAACAAUGAUAACAAUCACUUGAGUGAUCGUAGGGUCGAGGAAUCAUGAGGCUUGAGUGGGAAAGGAUUUAGACCGUUGGAUGAUGAGUGUGUGGAUAUGUGUGUGUGUGUGAGGUUUUAAGUCACUUGGUAACGGCCACAGAAGCCUAAGGUAAGGUCCUGAGAGACCCUUAUCGGUUUGUAACGCUAGAACAGUGCCACGUGGAAGAUAAAUCUUAUCGUUAUCUAUGAGUG